UGGCACCACCCCACACAGCAGCACCCUGCCUGUGGACUGUGGCUAAGUAGGUACCCAAUGGAGACCACUGCACAAAACUUUCAGUCCAAAACUGCAGAAAAUUAAUAAAUUCAAUUGUAAGUAAAAACAUGUUUUAAUGAAAUACACAAAAACAAUGCAAAAGAUAAAAGAUUUCCACUCACAGGGCGUUUGUAAACAGGAUCAGCUUUCACUUGUCUUGCAUCAUUCCACAACACCUCUGUGUCAGAUCCAGCACGAAUAACAAACUGAUCUCUACCUUUCUCAUCAGUAAGCCAAUGUUGCAGAUUCUCCUGCAAUAAUACACCAAAUACAGUUUAUUUAUCAAGAUAUUUAGUAAAAAAGAAAUUAACUGCUCUUCUUCAGUAUAUAACAUCGUCACAUUGUCACAUAACAAUAAACUAGAUAAUUCAAAUACUUACCCCUGGUGUGUAUGGCUUGAUUUCAGGAGGGGCCCACUCGUCUGGAACUUUCAUGAACUUUUCAAUUUCAUCAAACAUAUUGAC
rnacentral:lncRNA from 1 species